rnacentral:rRNA from 1 species
GUACACUCCUACGGGAGGCAGCAGUGGGGAAUAUUGGACAAUGGGCGCAAGCCUGAUCCAGCCAUGCCGCGUGAGUGAUGAAGGCCCUAGGGUUGUAAAGCUCUUUCACCGGUGAAGAUAAUGACGGUAACCGGAGAAGAAGCCCCGGCUAACUUCGUGCCAGCAGCCGCGGUAAUACGAAGGGGGCUAGCGUUGUUCGGAUUUACUGGGCGUAAAGCGCACGUAGGCGGACUAUUAAGUUAGGGGUGAAAUCCCGGGGCUCAACCCCGGAACUGCCUUUGAUACUGGUAGUCUUGAGUUCGAGAGAGGUGAGUGGAAUUCCGAGUGUAGAGGUGAAAUUCGUAGAUAUUCGGAGGAACACCAGUGGCGAAGGCGGCUCACUGGCUCGAUACUGACGCUGAGGUGCGAAAGCGUGGGGAGAAAACAGGAUUAGAAACCCUAGUAGUCCCAUGA